GAUGAACGCUGGCGGCGUGCCUAAUACAUGCCAGUCGAGCGAACGGACGAGAAGCUUGCUUCUCUGAUGUUAGCGGCGGACGGGUGAGUAACACGUGGAUAACCUACCUAUAAGACUGGGAUAACUUCGGGAAACCGGAGCUAAUACCGGAUAAUAUUUUGAACCGCAUGGUUCAAAAGUGAAAGACGGUCUUGCUGUCACUUAUAGAUGGAUCCGCGCUGCAUUAGCUAGUUGGUAAGGUAACGGCUUACCAAGGCAACGAUGCAUAGCCGACCUGAGAGGGUGAUCGGCCACACUGGAACUGAGACACGGUCCAGACUCCUACGGGAGGCAGCAGUAGGGAAUCUUCCGCAAUGGGCGAAAGCCUGACGGAGCAACGCCGCGUGAGUGAUGAAGGUCUCCGGAUCGUAAAACUCUGUUAUUAGGGAAGAACAUAUGUGUAAGUAACUGUGCACAUCUUGACGGUACCUAAUCAGAAAGCCACGGCUAACUACGUG
rnacentral:rRNA from 1 species